AGCGGCGGAUGGGUGAGUAACACGUGGGGAACCUGCCCCUAAGUCUGGGAUACCAUUUGGAAACAGGUGCUAAUACCGGACAAUAAAGCAGAUCGCAUGAUCAGCUUUUGAAAGGCGGCGUAAGCUGUCGCUAAGGGAUGGCCCCGCGGUGCAUUAGCUAGUUGGUAAGGUAACGGCUUACCAAGGCGACGAUGCAUAGCCGAGUUGAGAGACUGAUCGGCCACAUUGGGACUGAGACACGGCCCAAACUCCUACGGGAGGCAGCAGUAGGGAAUCUUCCACAAUGGACGCAAGUCUGAUGGAGCAACGCCGCGUGAGUGAAGAAGGUUUUCGGAUCGUAAAGCUCUGUUGUUGGUGAAGAAGGAUAGAGGUAGUAACUGGCCUUUAUUUGACGGUAAUCAACCAGAAAGUCACGGCUAACUACGUGCCAGCAGCCGCGGUAAUACGUAGGUGGCAAGCGUUGUCCGGAUUUAUUGGGCGUAAAGCGAGCGCAGGCGGAAAAAUAAGUCUAAUGUGAAAGCCCUCGGCUUAACCGAGGAACUGCAUCGGAAACUGUUUUUCGUGAGUGCAGAAGAGGAGAGUGGAACUCCAUGUGUAGCGGUGGAAUGCGUAGAUAUAUGGAAGAACACCAGUGGCGAAAGGCGGCUCUCUGGUCUGCAACUGACGCUGAGGCUCGAAAGCAUGGGUAGCGAACAGGAUUAGAUACCCUGGGUAGUCCAUGCCGUAACGAUGAGUGCUAAGUGU
rnacentral:rRNA from 1 species